rnacentral:lncRNA from 1 species
CUUGACGGAGCCGUUAAAUGCAGGAGCCGAUGAAGCUUACGUUUAUGGGCUCUUGUCCUCAAGGCCUCUCCAGAGGGGCCAGGCUUGAGUUUCUUCUAUAGGCCUCUUAGGGGCAGGUUGGGGGCAGGGACUCCCAUCCCUGACCAGCCACAGGGAUGGGCUCAAGAGCUGUGGUCUCUGGGUUUCCGGCAGCAGUGGCCUCUCAGUCUGGCUGGACAGCCUGAAUUCCAGGGGCUGGCCCCUCUGAAGGUGGUCCGGGGAUUGUUCUCGCUCCUGGCUUGGGUGCCCGGCCUUGUGUUACUCUGGAGCGGAGUCUAUGCCGAUUCUGCUCUGGACUGCUGAGGGGAGGAGACAAUGAACACUGUCCUUCUAGAACACUGUGUUCCAGCAAGGUGGGAGCCCCAGGAAGAUGGCCCAGGCCUCGGGAGUGGUUGUCUGAGGGAGAAGAGAUGGUCAAAGAUGCUGUUUCAGCCAAGAGGUGUGGAGGUCAGAACAUCUGCUGGAAUAGAAGGCUGGAGAGCGACGGUCGCUGGGGUGGCUUGGCACACCUGUGGCUGCACCCAAGGAGGAAUGACCUCAGGAAAGACUGUCCCCCACCGUCCAGGUACCUGGAGGACAGGUCACUCAGCAUCUGUAACUGUGCCCUUCUGAAGGUGGCAUUGCCUCCCAUCAGAGCUGGUGAGGGCGUGGCCGCUCAGCACACCUGGUGCGGACAAGGGGGGCGGACUGGUGAAUUAUUUAGAAUUGCCAAAGGUGUCGAGUUAGCAGCUAAUUAAAAAAAGCUAUCCUCUGUGCAACACUAUAAAAGAAUCAUAAAAUUCC